CCUACGGGGGGCAGCAGUGAGGAAUAUUGGUCAAUGGACGAGAGUCUGAACCAGCCAAGUAGCGUGAAGGAUGACUGCCCUAUGGGUUGUAAACUUCUUUUAUAUGGGAAUAAAACGUUCCACGUGUGGGAUUUUGUAUGUACCAUAUGAAUAAGCAUCGGCUAACUCCGUGCCAGCAGCCGCGGUAAUACGGAGGAUCCGAGCGUUAUCCGGCUUUAUUGGGUUUAAAGGGAGCGUAGGUGGAUUGUUAAGUCAGUUGUGAAAGUUUGCGGCGCAACCGUGAAAUUGCAGUUGAAACUGGCAGUCUUGAGUACAGUAGAGGUGGGCGGAAUUCGUGGUGUAGCGGUGAAAUGCUUAGAUAUCACGAAGAACUCCGAUUGCGAAGGCAGUUCACUGGACUGCAACUGACACUGAGGCUCGAAAGUGUGGGUAUCAAACAGGAUUAGAUACCCCAGUAGUC
rnacentral:rRNA from 1 species